rnacentral:rRNA from 1 species
AUUGAACGCUGGCGGCAGGCCUAACACAUGCAAGUCGAGCGGAUGAGAGGAGCUUGCUUCUCGAUUCAGCGGCGGACGGGUGAGUAAUGCCUAGGAAUCUGCCUGGUAGUGGGGGACAACGUUUCGAAAGGAACGCUAAUACCGCAUACGUCCUACGGGAGAAAGCAGGGGACCUUCGGGCCUUGCGCUAUCAGAUGAGCCUAGGUCGGAUUAGCUAGUUGGUGAGGUAAUGGCUCACCAAGGCGACGAUCCGUAACUGCUCUGAGAGGAUGAUCAGUCACACUGGAACUGAGACACGGUCCAGACUCCUACGGGAGGCAGCAGUGGGGAAUAUUGGACAAUGGGCGAAAGCCUGAUCCAGCCAUGCCGCGUGUGUGAAGAAGGUCUUCGGAUUGUAAAGCACUUUAAGUUGGGAGGAAGGGUUGUAGAUUAAUACUCUGCAAUUUUGACGUUACCGACAGAAUAAGCACCGGCUAACUCUGUGCCAGCCGCCGCUGUAAUAC